AGCUGGGUCUAUUGCUCUGCAGCCUGUGAUUCCCACAGAUGUUCAGGAUGAGGACUUUGGAGGCAGGAGAGUUUGUGGGGUUUGAAGGAAGCAAUGCAGGCUGGCUUUAGAAGAGAUUUUCUGUAUGUCAGUGAAUCAUUCAUGAAUGCAGAAAGAAAUAUAACACAUAAUUGCUAUAUCUGAAGCUCUUGAGCUCUGUUGUUAGCAACAAGUUAACAAGCAAGCAGGGGCUUCAAUUGUUGCAGCUGUUUUUAAUAACAAAUAUUGAUAACUUGCAUCUCUCCAGAGGUGAUCCAUAAAGAGUAUAAUCUAUACUGAGUUGACCAGGUAGCAAUUUUUCUUUCAUCUGCAAUAAUAAUUAAUGUUAAUACUUAAUUACACAAACACUUAUAGACUGUAAGGAGGUUCUUUGUGGUAGGUGCUGAAUUGCUAUUAAAAUACUAAAUAAGUAGAAAAAUGAAUGGUUCUUCUCCAUAGUGCUGCCUUGUGACAUGCACACAAAUUCCUGCUGACCAUCACUGCAGAGGCAGAAUCCAGCCACUUCCUACUGAUGUUUGUUCUGCUCUGAAUAGAGUCAAAUCUGUCUACUCCAGUUAAGAACCCGAUUGCAUAUUUUAGUUCUUAAGGUGAUGGCUGUAUUAUCAUAUCUACAGGCCCUGAAGUGUGCCUGAGCCUGAGGAAUCUCCAAGACAGCAGGGGCCUGUUCAGCAGGGUUGGGUCCCUAUUAGUAGGUGCGUUCAGUUGUAGGCUGCCUGUGGAGAGAUGCAAAGAAGUUCAGGCUGUAUUUGUUACUUUCCUGAAGCACGGCUAAGCAGCCCCGUCCUCCUCGUCUUGCAGAUUGAAGCCUGAAACAACCUGCCUGGCCUCCUUCCCCACUUGUCGUUCAAGGUGAGUGUACGAUCUUUAAAAUAACCUGCAGGCAGGGUGAAGG
rnacentral:lncRNA from 1 species